GACUCUCCCUUCUCGUCCAGUUUGAUCGUAGAUGCAGCGUAGCACGAACAAGCAGGAGCCAAAGCUGUCAGGAUCUCAGCCAAGAGAACAUAAGCUGCUACCAUAGCAGAACCAACCGUAAUAUCCAUGGGGGAUCCUUCAUAUUUAUGGCCCUUUAAGGUUAAGAAUUUGGUCUUUUAAGGACUGUGGCAUGUCAAUGCAAGUUUGACACCUGCUGAGGGUAGCAAACCAGAACGUGAUGGCAUAAAAUCCAAAUGCAUCCAGACAAAGAUGUUUCUGUCAGAGAACAUGAGGUAG